UGCCAGAUGGACUUGUGACUCAUGAUUAAGU
rnacentral:piRNA from 1 species